rnacentral:tRNA from 1 species
GCCGAAGUGGCGGAAGGGUAGACGCCGCGGACUUAAAAUCCGCUGCCGGCAACGGCGUGGGGGUUCGAAUCCCCCCUUCGGCA